rnacentral:rRNA from 1 species
AGCAAAUUUUUAAGCCUAAAACUCAAAAGACUUGACGGUGUUCCAACCUACCUAGAGGAGCCUGUUCCAUAAUCGGUACCCCACGAUCAACCCCACCACCUCUAGAACCCACCAACAGCCUAUAUACCGCCGUCACCAGCUUACCUUUCAAAAGACACAAAGCAAGCRCAAUAGUAUUUUACUAACACGUCAGGUCAAGGUGYRGCCCAUGAGGUGGBGCUAAUGGGCUACAUUAUCUGCCUCAGAUCACCCACGAACUAUUUUUUGAUACAAUUAUACAAAGGCGGAUUUAGCAGUAAACUAAGCGAGACUACUCAGUUUAACCCCUGCCCUGGGACAUG